AAUCAUAAAUAGCUUCGAGAGAUUUUUAUAUAUUAAUUUUUUACAUAUAUUCUAUUGUAAUACAGUUCUAUAUAAGUCGUAUUAUUCUUAUAAUUUUUAAUAUAAAAAACAUAUAGUUUAUAAUAAACAAAAUGUGUAACUUCAAUUCGUACGUACAGUAUUCCGUAUUGAGGAAGAUAAUUACAGAGAGAAAGCGACUCUUACUGGCGCAGCUGAUAUGUUCCGUCGUGCUGUAUUAAUUAUGACAAUCUUGCCAUUUGAUGGAAUUGUGGAUGAUUAAAUAUUUUAAUGUGUUGCUGUGCUCUCCCUCAGGGAAAUACAUCAUGCUUGUCAAGGCAGUAUUUAUAAAAAUCUACCAGUCGAGAGGUUCUCACAAUUCUUAAUACUAGUAAUUAACAACUUAAUAGACGUCCGUUCUACCGCAACCUAUAUUUUUUGUCGGAAAUAAAGUACACCUCGUGGAAGCGUUUCACUCUGACUCUUGAGUUCCCCAACUACAAACGUAAUAUACGACGUGUUCAGUUACGUUUAUUGAAAUGGAAUUAUCGAAUAAGAAACUCGACAGUGUCGACCUACAAAACUCUUGAAAAAUCAAGAAAUCAUAAUAAUAAAUUUCAUUAAAAUUCUUCCUAAUAUAAUUACCACAGUGAGUGAAUCCACAGAUGAAAGAUAAUUUGGAUCUGAAGAAAUUAAGAGGCUUAUAUGUCAAUAAUAGCAAAGCAGAGAUUACUUUGAACGAUGACUUAUAUCAACGAUGACUUAUAUUAAAAAUAGUUAAACUAAUUAAAAACCAGAUGUUCAUGGAGGUCACUUGGAAUCAUUACAGAUGCAUACGUACCAACGGUCCGAGUAUAUCGCAAUAACAUCGGUAGUAAAUAUGUCUGUAGAUCUAUUCUUUGCGAAGAGCCCGAUGUGUCAACAUUUAUUGUGUUUGUUUACAGACUGAAAAGUGAAGUGAGAAAAGUGAAAGAGAAAUUUUUGUUAUAGUGCAAUCCAUUUUAUAAUCAUUAAUGUGAAACAAUAUAGAUUUUUCUAAAAUUGUUUUAAACUUUAUAUGAUUUUCUGGAUUUUCAUCGAAUCUGUCAAUAAUUUUUUUUUAGCGUAGUAAACCUAAAGAGAAUUAGUUAUAGCAAAGACUUGAACUUCCUCGAUAUCAGUGCGUUCUUCCAAUUGAUAGACAAGCUCGUAAAUAUGGAAAGAGAUGCAAAGUGAUAAUCAAUUAACAAGUGUUAAAAUUUAGACGUGUCUCUCUACAUUUUUGUGUUAUCCUUUAUAUAUCAAGCAAAAGAAUAUAACAAAUGGAAUUUCAGGAAAAAUCCGCUUUUGCUCAAAAACAUCCAGUUUAUGAUACCAUUCCACUAAUUAUUAUUGAUAAAACGGAAAAAAAAUAUUCCACAGAUAAGACAGAGAGUCAAAAAUAUUAUGUUUCUAGUCCAUUUUGGAUGAAAUUUCGUUUAUUAUUAUUUUGGACAUUGUGGGCUGCAUUAAUAAUGACGAUCAUAAUCUCCUUUCUCACAUACUUUUGUUUUACACCCCGAAUGUGCCAUAGCUCAUAUAAAUAUAAAAAUAUACACAAAUAACAAAUACACAUCAUCUCGUAAGAUAAAAAUGCAAUGGCGCAUGAUAAUUUAGAUUAUUAUAUAUUUAUUAUAUAUUCGUGCUUCACACUCUUCAUAAUAACAAUAGUAAUAUCAAAAUUAACCAUAUGUGGUAAACAAGAAAUACAAUACAUUCAGCUAACAGAAAAGUUCCUUGUUUUAAACAAAUUGUUAUACAUUUCUAUUAUAUGUUACAUAUAUUACUGCAGUGCAAUUUUACAGCAGAAUAUAGCUUUAUAAAUACUCUAAUAUUUACUUUUUAUUUAUAAUACAAUGUAUAUAAUGUUAUAAGUUCAGAAAAUUUUGUAAAUAUGAUUUGUGUAUAAUUUUUUAUUUGAUUUCAAGAAAUGUAAUAAUUAAAAAAUUCAAAAUAGCGCACGCGCGAGCGUUUAUGAUAAAGGGUAUAAUCAAGAUAAUGCCAUAAAUGUUUUAAAGGAUCUUUCGAUUGGUUAAUUAUAAAAUUCUCUGUUCUGAUAAAUUAAUCGAAUGUUUAGAAGCAUUUGUAGUGUCUGAUGUAUUACAGCCGAAAUAAGUAAAUUGCAUUUCUUUUGUUCUUUUUUAAAAAUAUAUUAAAUGUAACGAUUUUACCCAGCUGUAGCAUUUUUUAUAAUAGCAAGAUUUAAUUUCACUUCAUUUCACACAUUUUACUUAACAUUAAUAUAAUUUACAUAAUAAAAAUUAAAUACUUAUAUAAUAAAAAUUAAAUUAUCUCACAUGCACACAUACAUUUUAGUUUAUACUUUACUGAUAACAUUAUAAAAUUUUAUAUACCAUGUAAAAAUAAUUACAUAUGAUAAAUUACGUUUGAAAA